ACACCAUGUACAUACAUGGUAUAUGUACGGGGUGUACGUACACCGUGUACGUACACUUUGUACGUGUACGUACACCUCUAAAUACACUUCCCCAUAAUCAUCAGUUACACAUCGAAAUGGAAUGUAUAGGAAUUUUACCAGCGCCCAAAGACGUAAUACAGACAAGCACCUUUAUUUGGAAUCCUGGCGAAAAAUACCGCAGAACCGGGACAGUGUUAUUUCUGUUUUGGACAGAUGGACGGGGAGGAACUACUUGCGAUGACCGUGCAAUGCUGUCAACAGAAAGCUCAUUGUCGAUGUUUUCAAAUGUGGGCGGCGCAAUACAACGGCACAGCCAUCGGAACCGUACGGUGCGGGUACUGUAGAACACCAUUCUCGGACAAAGAACUCUGCUACUUGUGCUUACAGAACAAAAACAACGGACAAGAACUAAACAAAACCCGUUGCUGUCAAACAACGAUCCAUAAAGAUUGUACGGAAAUACUAAAAGAUCGAAACACUGGCCAAGCUGACAUUUGAAUUUUCAUUGGAAUGUGGCGAAUUAACCUUUUGUGGAUGCAUCUGGCACAAACUUUAAAAAACAUUGUAAUUACUGAAACAUUUUUAUUGUAAAUUCCUGUAAAAUAUUUUUCAAUGUUGUACGCCAUUUUGAAAAUGACGUCAUGACCAUAGAGAUUAUAAAUAACACUAGAGGAGGCAUUGUAAUCUUAAUUCAGUAAAAAAAAGGGAACGCGGCUAUUGGGGGGCAAAUUCAAGUCCCGGAUGUGUAUUCGUGUUCCCAUUGGUGACGAGUUUCAAAUCAGCCAAUGAGAGCACGAUUUUAUAUCCGGGACUUGAAUUUGCCCCCCAUUAGCUGCGUUCCCAAUUUUUAAACUCGAUGCCUCCUCUAGUGUUAUUUAUAAUCUCUAUGGUCAUGACGUCAUUGCAUACUCCUUACUUCCAGUGCUUUCCGCAUACUAAUUACUUCCGCCGCUCUAUUGGACCCGCUCCUGCAUACUAAUUACACGGAUUUCGGUAUUGCAUACUAAUUACUUCCGGCGCUCUAUUCGCUCCUGCAUAUUAAUUACUUUCGCCAUCCUAUUCGCUCCUGCAUACUAAUUACUUCCUCCGCUAUGGUGGGGGGGGGGGGUAAUACUACUGUAGUUUUUAAAAAAGUUUUAAAAAAGUUUUAAAAGAAUUUUAAAAAGCAAAAAAAGUUUAAAAAGUUAGAUUUUUAAAAAAAUUAUAAAGUUAAAAAAGUUAGGGUUAGGGGUUAGUGGUUAGAGUUGGGGUUAGGGUUAGUGUUAGGUGCCGCGAAUUUAUUAUUAUGAUAAAUUCAAAAUGUGCCGCAAAUUUAUCAUAAUGUAAAUUCGGACGUGUUUAAGAAUUUACUCAUAUAGUAAAUUCAAAGUGGAGCUCAUGCUGCGUAUUCUCCGAGUUACAGCAUCGCGUACUAAUAUAAUUUACUCUUUAUUUAUGAGAGUUUGCAGUUUCCAGGAGGACGGAAAACCUACAGGAACCAGUUAUCAUGUAUAUUUGAAUGUUCCAAAGCUUAAAACAACAAAUUAUCGACCAACAAUAAAAGCAUUAAC
rnacentral:lncRNA from 1 species